rnacentral:rRNA from 1 species
AACGCGAAGAACCUUACCAGCCUUUGACAUCCCGGUCGCGAGUACCAGAGAUGGAACUCUUCAGUUCGGCUGGACCGGAGACAGGUGCUGCAUGGCUGUCGUCAGCUCGUGUCGUGAGAUGUUGGGUUAAGUCCCGCAACGAGCGCAACCCUCGCCCUUAGUUGCCAUCAUUCAGUUGGGCACUCUAAGGGGACUGCCGGUGAUAAGCCGCGAGGAAGGUGGGGAUGACGUCAAGUCCUCAUGGCCCUUACAGGCUGGGCUACACACGUGCUACAAUGGCGGUGACAGUGGGAUGCAAUGGAGUAAUCCUGCGCAAAUCUCAAAAAGCCGUCUCAGUUCGGAUUGUGCUCUGCAACUCGAGCACAUGAAGUUGGAAUCGCUAGUAAUCGCAGAUCAGCACGCUGCGGUGAAUACGUUCCCGGGCCUUGUACACACCGCUAGUC